AGAGUUUGAUCCUGGCUCAGAUUAAACGCUGGCGGCAUGCCUUACACAUGCAAGUCGAACGGCAGCACGGGGGGCAACCCUGGUGGCGAGUGGCGAACGGGUGAGUAAAGCAUCGGAACGUGCCCUGGAGUGGGGGAUAACGUAGCGAAAGUUACGCUAAUACCGCAUAUUCUGUGAGCAGGAAAGCAGGGGAUCGCAAGACCUUGCGCUCUGGGAGCGGCCGAUGUCGGAUUAGCUAGUUGGUGGGGUAAAGGCCUACCAAGGCGACGAUCCGUAGCGGGUCUGAGAGGAUGAUCCGCCACACUGGAACUGAGACACGGUCCAGACUCCUACGGGAGGCAGCAGUGGGGAAUUUUGGACAAUGGGCGCAAGCCUGAUCCAGCCAUGCCGCGUGAGUGAAGAAGGCCUUCGGGUUGUAAAGCUCUUUCGGCGGGGAAGAAAUUGCUUGGGUUAAUACCCUGAGUAGAUGACGGUACCCGCAUAAGAAGCACCGGCUAACUACGUG
rnacentral:rRNA from 1 species